rnacentral:rRNA from 1 species
UACGUAGGGUGCGAGCGUUGUCCGGAAUUACUGGGCGUAAAGAGCUCGUAGGUGGUUUGUCGCGUUGUCCGUGAAAACUCACAACUCAAUUGUGGGCGUGCGGGCGAUACGGGCAGACUGGAGUACUGCAGGGGAGACUGGAAUUCCUGGUGUAGCGGUGGAAUGCGCAGAUAUCAGGAAGAACACCCGUGGCUAAGGCGGCUCUCUAGUACGGUACUGACGCUGAGACGCGAAAGCGUGGGGAGCGAACAGGG